rnacentral:rRNA from 1 species
AAUCUUGGACAAUGGGGGGAACCCUGAUCCAGCCAUUCCGCGUGUGUGAUGAAGGCCUUCGGGUUGUAAAGCACUUUUGGCAGGGAAGAAAUUGCGCGGGCUAAUACCCUGCGUGGAUGACGGUACCUGCAGAAGAAGCACCGGCCAACUACGUGCCAGCAGCCGCGGUAAUACGUAGGGUGCAAGCGUUAAUCGGAAUUACUGGGCGUAAAGGGUGCGCGGGCGGCUCGGAAAGAAAGAUGUGAAAUCCCAGGGCUCAACCUUGGAACUGCAUUUUUAACUACCGGGCUAGAGUGUGUCAGAGGGAGGUGGAAUUCCACGUGUAGCAGUGAAAUGCGUAGGUAUGCGGAGAAACCCCGAUGGCGAAGGCAGCCUCCUGGGAUAACACUGACGCUAAGGCACGAAAGCGUGGGGAGCAAAC